AAUACCCAUACAAAUUUAAUAACAUUAAUGAUAAUAGAAAUGAUACACUAUAAUAUGAUAUAAGGAGAAUACAACAUUAGACAUUAUGUAAAAAAAAAUAUUGCAUAUUUGAAUGCACACCUUCCUUGCUGCGUCAGAGAAAUAAAAAAAAAAAAAGAAGGGCAUUUCUUAAUUUCACCUCAGUUGCCCACUUGCCUUGGAAGAGGAAGGUCAUAGCUCCUGCUCCUCUCCUCCUUCACCUGCCUACCUGGAAACACCUGCUGCUCUGCUUACCUUCUAAUUAGUCGUAAAGGAACUGCAGCAACUUUUUGACCAGGCGACGGGCGGCAGCAAACCAAGCCAGGGGUCAGGAGGGAACAGGCCAAGUGGAGGAGGGAACAGGCCAGGUGGAGGUGGAAACAGGCCAGGUGGAAACAGGCCCGGGUCAGGUCAGGGUCAGUUCCCAUUCCCAGGGUCAGGUCAGGGUCAGUUCCCAGGGUCAGGUCAGGGUCAGUUCCCAGGAUCAGGUCAGGGUCAGUUCCCAGGGUCAGGUCAGGGCCAGUUCCCAGGGUCAGGUCAGGGCCAGUUCCCAGGGUCAGGUCAAGGUCAGUUCCCAUUCCCAGGGUCGGGAGGUAAUCGCCCAGGUCAGUUCCCAGGUCAGGGUCAGUUCCCCGGUCAGGGUCAGUUCCCAGGUCAAGGUCAGUUCCCCGGUCAAGGUCAGUUCCCAGGUCAAGGUCAGUUCCCCGGUCAAGGUCAGUUCCCGGGGCAGGGCAACAGACCAAGCAGACCCAGCAGGCCAGGUCACGGGGGCAGCUCAGGGGGGGGUGGGGGUAACUGUAAGUUCUUCUGCCAGAAUGCUUCUGGUCAGUACGUGCCGUGCUGCUAGGCUGUGGUGGUGGUGGUGGUGGUGGUGGUCUGCAACAGUUCUGGCUUCACCUGCAUUGCUUCACAAGGCCUCUAGUUGAAGUGACACACGGUUUGUAAGGGUGUUUCCACGGUUGUAGUGACAGAUUUACAUCUGUACAUUAUUAACGGGAGAAACACUCUUGAGAACCUCGCUACUCAUCUCUGAGGCCUUGGGAAGCUGUGGUGAGAGUGACCGUUUCAGAACACGGCUCACUAUUUUAGUGUCGCUUUUGUACUGCAGCAGUGUUGCAGGCCCGCGUCACCAUGACGGGUGAAACUAAAUUCAAAUGGUUUAUUGACGUCAAACACACAUGAGAGGGGCAGGCAGCUUGCUGAGAUGGCCACCCAGCUGACCUUGUAGGGCCUUACAAACUACUUAACUAGUAUGAAAAAAAAAAUAUUUGAACUUAUGAAGACAUUUGUACAACCCGCGCUGCGCGAUCGCGGGAUGGAGCAGCCUGGCGCCUCCUCCUCAGUGGCAUGUCACACUGCGAGGGUGUGGCGCUCACCGCUCAGCGUACCGCCAGCAGGCGUUGUGUGGACGUCGUGGUGUCUCAGGUAAGGCUGUGUGGCCUUGAGGCAGGAGGGUUACUCAGGCCACACGCCACACACUGGGCUCACCGCGUCCAGGCACUGCCAGUCAAGCUACUGUACGUGCAGUAUUUCCGUCUCCAACCUUCAUUUUCUGGUGUUAUGAGCAUGUUGUGUUGAGCGUGUUCCCGGAGAGCUGCCUGGCCUCUCCAGCACGCACUCACUAAAUAAAACCACGUCAAGCAAGGCGGCGCGUGGGUGUGGCUGGCUGAGCUGCUGCCCCCCCUGGCUGUGGCAAGCGGCCGUGACCUGCGGUGUGCGGCAGUCACUGUAGCGCCUCGCGUCUGUCGAGUGUUACGUGUUACCACACCAGCGAAGCCUCUCUCUAUUACGUGUUGCCACAAUAACAGCGGGGUUUUGCCGGCCACUGUCAAGCUGUCUUCACUCAGGAAAAAUAGUAAACAGGCUAUUUGACAUUAUGAAAAUUACUAACCUGCUCGUUUCCACUACUCUCUUCACGCCAUCACACUGCCGUUGUCAAAAUAAUUCGUUUUUUUUUUUUUUUGUCAAAAUAUUCAGUUCUUAUUUAUUAUUAUUGUUAUUAUUUUUUUUAUUUUUAUGGUGUCAAAAUAAUUUGCCGUUGUUUGCUCACCUUCAGCAACACUACAAUUCCGGCACAAUUCUUCAGUUUUUUUUUUCUCAUUUCUUAUAUUUUAUUUGAAUGUUCUCGUUUUUUUUUUGUAAUUGUAUGUAAUCUGUUAAAUUACCUGUUGACAUCAUAACUAUUACCUUAACUACAUACUAUCCAUGGCUGCCAGUUGUCAGCCAUUACUGUUGCUAUUUUAAGCUGUUACUUUCACAUGUACUUCUGUUUUAAGUGCAGUACCUCACUUAUAAUGCACUCUGGUAAUAGUAGUAGUAGUAGUAGUGGUGAUGGUGGUUAUAUUAGUAGUAAGGAUUGUUCGUUUGUUUUUUGUAGUAAGAAAUGUACUUGUUUGUUUAUAGAUCAUGAAAAAAUGUAUUAUUCAAUUUUGUAACCUCAUUGUUGGAUUAAAAAUGUUAUUACUAUUAUUAUUAUUAUUAUUAUUAUUAUUAUCAUUACUGUUAUCGUAUCCUCUUGUGUCUCAAUUUAUUCAGUCUUUUCUUUCUUCUAUACACAAAAUACUUUUACAUUAUAUUAUUCAAACACCUUUAUUCAUUCUCUUUUAAUUUAAUUUUUGUGACUUCUCAAAUAUCCAUCUUCCUACUACUACUACUACUACUACUACUACUACUACUACUACUACUACUACUAAUAAUAAUAAUAAUAAUAAUGAUAAUAACAAGAAGUCUACACAUAUAACUUUAUUUAACAUACAAACUUCAUUUUUAUAUUAUAUACACCAAACAGAGGUGGCAGAAGGAGAGAGAGAGAGAGAGAGAGAGAGAGAGAGAGAGAGAGAGAGAGAGAGAGAGAGAGAGAGAGAGAGAG